AAUGCACACAAAAACCCAAAGAAUAUUGUUUUUGUAGUAACAAUGUUCUUGUCAUGUGUGCAAAUAUAAUCUGUACCUUGUCGCCUUUCAAGAGCUGAAGUGCUUUUGAAAGUGAAACUGAAGGUUCUACAUGC
rfam:Alligator mississippiensis ScZkoYb_58, whole genome shotgun sequence.